rnacentral:lncRNA from 1 species
CUAUCAUUCUGAAAACACCAUCUUCUCAAAAGUCAAAACACUUGGCCAUCACCAUCUUCUCACUCUCCCAGUUUUAUAGUUUUUCUGUAGAAACUCCAUUUCAAUUCGUUGGUCUGGUGAUUGGGUCGGGAUUCUCCGUUGGAACGCGUUAAUGCGAAGGAUCCCUAAAUCAAAAGAGCUCUAUGGAAACCCCCAACAGAGUUUUUACGAUUAGGGCUGGCAUACUCGUCUCUCCUCUCUGUUCUCAUCGCUUCUCAUUCAUUUUCCUCUGUUGAAAUUGCUCUCAAUCGAUUGCCUGGGGUCUGUAAUCGGAGUCGGAUAAAAUUAGGGUUUGAGAUUCGCUUCGGUUUUUAUAAGGCUUCCCGAUUUCAGUCGCUAUUCAGGGCGAGACAAUAUUCUGGCAAGAGGAUUGAUACUCUGGAGCUAAGCACUAUGGAGGAUGUUGGUACUUCUUCUCCUCCAAAUAGCUCAAAGAGAUGGAUUACGAGGAAGAAAACCAGAGGUGAAAAGGUGGGUGAUAGAGAUGUAGGUCAUCAAUUGAGAUUUCUGGCAGGUUGAUUAGCAAUGGCAGCAGCAAAGUUGCUUGCUUGUAUACUUAGUAGGGCAAGAAGGAAACCAAUCAAGAUGCCAUGCUUGUUUGGAAGGGAGCAUCUAGCUUAGGAGCUCCUAGAUGGGAUAGAGAAGUGGAAGAGCAAAAGCUUAUUGGUAGUGGAGCACUGGAUUUGUAGGUACAUGCCUCCAAUGUAUGGAGCAACCAGCUGAGCACACACUGGAUUACAGAUUUGGGAAUGUGCUGAUAUAUAGACACCAUUAUAUCAGCUUCUUGCUUGUGUCAUGUUGUCAUGUUGCUCAUGGGUAGUGUGGCUUUUGAUGUGGGAGUAUUGCAUGCAGCUUCUUGAAACAAGUUGAUAUGGUGGCAGAAGCAGAAGAAAAAAAGAGGAGCAGCAGGAGCAAGCAUUAGUCGUGGCCGAAGUGGGCAAACAAUCAUAAAUAGUCCAAUAAAUACUGUUUCAUUUCUAGCAACUAAUGUCUUUGCCCUUGAUGCAAUGUUAAACAAUAAAUUGUCACCUAUUCAUGAUUUUGUGGAACAAUGAUUAAUAUGAAUUGUAUCUUGGUGGAUCCAAUGUAUUUUGAAGUUUAAAAUAUGGUUGGAG